GAGAGUAUGAGCGGGGCAUAUGGAGGAGGUUAGGCCGCGAGAGAAGAGAAAAAAAGGAGUGCGAUGUGGGAGUGAGGUUCGUGAGAGGAAGGAGAUCGUGCGUGAGCGUGAAUGAAGGCUUAUGAAGGAGGCUGCAGGUGGAGCGAAAGAGAGGUGUGCGGCGUGUGAGUGGGGUUUGUAAGAGGGAGGGGAUUUGUGUGAGCACGAAUGGAGGUUAUGGAGGGGACCGCGGGAGGAGAGAAAGGAAAGAACGUGGUGUGUGAGUGAGGUCUGUGUAGGAGAGAGGAUUCUGUGUGAGUAUUAGGGGAGGUAUGAGGAGAAGUCCACGGGAGGAGAGAGAGGUGAUUUGGGGAUUUGAGAGGGGAGUAUCUAGAGUAGGCCGUGGAGGGAGAGAGAAUAAGGAAUUUAGUGAGUGAGGUGGAUUGGUGUAAGAGUGGAAGUAGUGUUGAGGUAGAAAAUUUGGGAGGAGGAAAGAGAGGCUGCAGAGCGUGGGUUUGAAGUGUCGAACUAGAGGGGUGUGGGGGUAGUUAUGUAGGGCGAGGGGAUGAGUGGUGUAGCUGUGUGGUGUGAGGAUAUGUAGGUUGGUAUAGCUGCCAUAAAUUUGGUAGUUGGCAAGGGGAACGUUACUGGUGUGGGUGUGUUAAGCAUUGGUGUGCGUCUUAUAGAGAGGAGCGUGUGGUGUAGGUAUACAGGUUAAAGGUAUAGGAGAACUUUAAGAU
rnacentral:lncRNA from 1 species